UUAAGCGCGGGGUAAAGAUGGCCUCUGUUUCAAGCUGUCGCUUUGAGAUGAGUCUGCGUUCCAUUAGCUAGUUGGUGAAUUAAGAGCUCACCAAGGCGAUGAUGGAUAGGCGGCCUUAACGGGUGGUCGCCCACACUGGGAUUGAGAUACGGCCCAGACUCCUACGGGAGGCAGCAGUCGAGAAUAGUCUACAAUGGGGGAAACCCUGAUAGUGCGACGCCGCGUGGAUGAAGAAUCUUUUCGGAGUGUAAAAUCCUUUUCUAAGUGACCAAUGGUUUAUAGUUUAAUAGGUUAUAGACAGAGAUGUUAGCUUGGGAAUAAGCCACGGCUAACUCCGUGCCAGCAGCCGCGGUAAUACGGAGGUGGCGAGCGUUGUCCGGAAUGACUAGGCGUAAAGGGCAAGUAGGCGGAGAUAUAAGUCAGAUGUAAAAUACAGCGGCUCAACCGCUGGUCUGCAUUUGAUACUGUAUUUCUAGAGUAAGGUAGAGGAAGGCGGAAUUCCUGGUGUAGUGGUGCAAUGCGCAGAUAUCAGGAAGAACACCGAUGGCGAAGGCAGCCUUCUGGGCCAUUACUGACGCUAAAUUGCGAAGGUGUGGGUAUCGAACAGGAUUAGAUACCCUGGUAGUCCACACAGUAAACGAUAUGCACUAGGUGUAGGGAGAGAGAAUCUUUCUGUGCCGGAGUUAACGCAUUAAGUGCAUCGCCUGGGGAGUACGAUCGCAAGGUUUAAACUCAAAGGAAUUGACGGGGGCCCGCACAAGCGGUGGAGCACGUGGUUUAAUUCGAUGCAACGCGACAAACCUUACGGGGGCUUGACAUCCGGAGAAUACCUUAGAGAUGAGGUAGUGCCCUUCGGGGAACUUCGUGACAGGUGCUGCAUGGCUGUCGUCAGCUCGUGUCGUGAGAUGUUGGGUUAAGUCCCGCAACGAGCGCAACCCCUAUCGUUAGUUGCCAUCAUUAAGUUGGGGACUCUAACGAGACUGCCAGUGUAAUAAACUGGAGGAAGGUGGGGACGACGUCAAGUCAUCAUGGUCCUUAUGUCCAGGGCUACACACGUGCUACAAUGGCCGGUAUAGAGGGACGCGAAUCCGCGAGGUGGAGCUAAUCCCAUAAACCCGGUCUCAGUUCGGAUCGGAGUCUGCAACUCGACUCCGUGAAGUUGGAAUCGCUAGUAAUCGCGUAUCAGAAUGGCGCGGUGAAUACGUUCCCGGGCCUUGUACACACCGCCCGUCAAGUCAGCCGAGUUGAUUGCACCCGAAGGAGGUGAGCUAACCGCAAGGGAGCAGCUUUCGAAGGUGUGAUUAGCGAGGGGGACUAAGUCGUAACAAGGUA
rnacentral:rRNA from 1 species